rnacentral:rRNA from 1 species
CCUACGGUAGGCAGCAGUGAGGAAUAUUGGUCAAUGGACGAGAGUCUGAACCAGCCAAGUAGCGUGAAGGAUGACUGCCCUAUGGGUUGUAAACUUCUUUUAUAAAGGAAUAAAACGAGGCACGUGUGCCUUUUUGCAUGUACUUUAUGAAUAAGGAUCGGCUAACUCCGUGCCAGCAGCCGCGGUAAUACGGAGGAUCCGCGCGUUAUCCGGAUUUAUUGGGUUUAAAGGGAGCGUAGAUGGGUUGUUAAGUCAGUUGUGAAAGUUUUCGGCUCAACCGUAAAAUUGCAAUUGAUACUGGCAGUCUUGAGUACAGUUGAGGUAGGAGGAAUUCGUGGUGUAGCGGUGAAAUGCUUAGAUAUCACGAAGAACCCCGAUUGCGAAGGCAGCUUACUAAACUGUGACUGACAUUGAUGCUCGAAAGUGUGGGUAUCAAACAGGAUUAGAUACCCGGGUAGUC